rnacentral:rRNA from 1 species
GAUGAACGCUGGCAGAAUGCUUAACACAUGCAAGUCAACUUGAAAUUCGGUUUGGGUGGCGGACGGGUGAGUAACGCGUACCGAACUUGCCUCACAGUUAGGGACAACUUUUGGAAACGAAUGCUAAUACCUGAUAUUAUGAUUUUAGGGCAUCCUUGAAUUAUGAAAGCUAUAUUCGCUUGGAGAGAGCUUUGCGUCCCAUUAGCUAGUUGGAGAGGUAGCGGCUCACCAAGGCGACGAUGGGUGGCCGCCAUGGGAGGGGGACCGGCGACAAGGGGACUGAGAGACGGCCCCGAUGCCUACGGGGGGCAGCAGUGGGGAAAAUUGUGAAAUAGGCGGAAGUCUGAUGCAGCAACGCUGCGUGCGGGAAGAUGGAUUUUGGGGGGAAAAAAGGUUUUUCCUGUGAGGAAGAAAAAGUGACGGUAACCGAUAAAGAAGCAAAGGCUAAAUACGUG